rnacentral:rRNA from 1 species
CUACGGGACGCAGCAGUGAGGAAUAUUGGUCAAUGGGCGCGAGCCUGAACCAGCCAUCCCGCGUGCAGGAUGACGGCCCUAUGGGUUGUAAACUGCUUUUCUAUGCCAAGAAACCUGAUUACGUGUAAUCAGUUGCCGGUAGCAUAGGAAUAAGCAUCGGCUAACUCCGGCCAGCAGCCGCGGUAAUACGGAGGAUGCAAGCGUUAUCCGGAUUCAUUGGGUUUAAAGGGUGCGCAGGUGGGCUUGUAAGUCAGUGGUGAAAUGCUGCCGCUUAACGGUAGAACUGCCAUUGAUACUGCGAGUCUUGAGUAUGGUUGAGGUAGGCGGAAUGUGUUGUGUAGCGGUGAAAUGCAUAGAUAUGACACAGAACGCCAAUUGCGAAGGCAGCUUACUAAGCCAUUACUGACGCUGAGGCACGAAAGCGUGGGGAGCGAACAGGAUUAGAUACCCCUGUAGUC